rnacentral:rRNA from 1 species
UAUUCUCAGUUGCCAGCACAUAAUGGUGGGCACUCUGUGGAGACUGCCCGGGUUAACCGGAGGAAGGUGGGGAUGACGUCAAGUCAUCAUGGCCCUUACGCCUAGGGCUACACACGUACUACAAUGGUGGGUACAAAGGGCAGCGAAACCGUGAGGUCGAGCGAAUCUCAAAAAACCCAUCAUAGUCCGGAUUGCAGUCUGCAACUCGACUGCAUGAAGUUGGAAUCGCUAGUAAUCCCGGAUCAGCAUGCCGGGUGAAUACGUUCCCGGGCCUU